rnacentral:rRNA from 1 species
CCCCUAGAUGUUCUGGGCCGCACGCGCGCUACACUGAACAGUUCAACAAGUCUUAACCUUGGCCGAUAGGUCUGGGUAAUCUUUGAACGCUGUUCGUGAUUGGGAUAGACCUUUGCAAUUAUGGGUCUUCAACGAGGAAUUCCUAGUAAACGCAAGUCAUCAGCUUGCAUUGAUUACGUCCCUGCCCUUUGUACACACCGCCCGUCGCGCCUACCGAUUGAAUGGUCCGGUGAAAUCCUCGGAUCGAGCUGCGGGGCAACCCCGGUUCGAGAAGUUGAUUAAACCUUACCAUUUAGAGGAAGGUGAAGUCGUAACA